rnacentral:rRNA from 1 species
ACGGAAGGCAGCAGUCGGGAAUUUUGCGCAAUGGAGGAAACUCUGACGCAGUGACGCCGCGUGCAGGAAGAAGGUUUUCGGAUUGUAAACUGCUUUAGACAGGGAAGAAACAAGACAGUACCUGUAGAAUAAGCUCCGGCUAACUACGUGCCAGCAGCCGCGGUAAUACGUAGGGAGCAAGCGUUAUCCGGAUUUAUUGGGUGUAAAGGGUGCGUAGACGGGAAAAUAAGUUAGCUGUGAAAUCCCUCGGCUCAACCGAGGAACUGCAACUAAAACUGUUUUUCUUGAGUGCUGGAGAGGAAAGUGGAAUUCCUAGUGUAGCGGUGAAAUGCGUAGAUAUUAGGAGGAACACCAGUGGCGAAGGCGACUUUCUGGACAGUAACUGACGUUGAGGCACGAAAGUGUGGGGAGCAAACAGGAUUAGAUACCCUGGUA